rnacentral:lncRNA from 10 species
GAGAGUCACUUGAGCCUGGGAGGCAGAGGUUGCAGUGAGCCGAGAUCUCAUGACUGCAUUCCAGCCUGGGUGACAGAGCAAGACUCCGUCUCAACAACAACGACAAAAAAAAAAAAAGAAAGAAAGAAAGAAAAAAAAAGAAAAGAAGAAGAAGAAGAAAAGUCAGAGGCAGCUAUAACAAAGACCAUGUGAGUGCAUGCGCACACACACACCACUGUUCCUGUGUUCCCAACUGAUUGCUGACCGGCUUUCGUGAAGCCCUCACCUUCCCCAUCAUUAUCACAAAAAAUACCAGUUAUCACCGAAUGAAAAUCAUCUGUCUCUUAAGGAACAGACAGGGUGUUUGCUGUUCUAAUGACUUCACCUGCACUGUAUGGAGCUUGGAAUAUGAUUAAUGUUGCAUCAGUGUCCCCUUUGGCAAGCUCUUGCAGACAAGGGCAAACUGCCACAGCUGUCUUCCAAAGAUGGUCUCUACUAGAUGACAACACCUAAUCAACAAUGAAAUGGACAUGACUGUUCUAGCCCCAAAGACAUUCAGAGGAAAGACUCACCUGAAGAAGUCAUCUCAGAGACAUUCCAAAACUUUUAUACAUCGUACACGCCACGACGUGAAAGAAUUUGGUCAGACUGGAAGUCAACAGCUCUCUUGAGAAGCAUCACGUGCUUGAAAGCUAAUAACAUUAUCCAGAAACUCUGAGAAAGGGUUAAUAACUGAGCUUUGACACUCAGAUAACACUGGUUUCUCCAGAAUAUCAGAAGCCCUAAGAUGCAGAGAGGAAGAAUGUUUACCCUUAAAUCAUAGCUUUGGAAACACUGAACUUCUUGAGUAAAGGCAGGAAGGGUGCAUAUUUAACUAAAUUCAAGGGUGUGUCUGCUCAUCAUUCAGCAGGGUGAUGCAUUAAUCCUGCUUCACCUACAAACAAAAGUGUGAUCUCAGCCUCCAGGAACAGUUCUGUUCUUUGGGUACACCCUCUAUGAAACUCAGAUUGAAAUUACCUCUUUGUGUUAUUCAUCAGGCACCAAUUGUUCUUAAGAUGAAUAUUCCAUUCAUUCCUGGUAUGUGACCACUGAAGUCUCAGAGUCCUAACUUACUGCCAUACAGAUGUAAUGAUCUGUGACUGCAUCUCUAUGGGUAAGAGGCAGGGUACUAUACUGAAUUGAGCAAAAGAGCUAUUCCUAACACACAGUUGGAAAGUAAAGCAAAGAUCCAACAUACAACUGCUUGUGAUGGGUGUGUAGGAAACUACCAAACAAUACAUUUAAUGGCUGUAAGAAUGGGAAGCUCGCAUUAAUUCAGCUCCUCCAAGAAUCAGAUGUCAAAUCAGGGUUAUGUGCAGGAACUUUAUUAGGGGAAGUGCCUGUGUGAGAAAAAAUGGGAGAAAGCUGGGUAAGACUGGGAGAAACAUCAAACCACCAUGCAAACCGGACCCUAAGUGAAGGAGGAGAGGAAGCUGGGCAGAAGUGUCCUCAACUACUCUGCAGUCAAAAGAAGGCUCAACAAGGCCACUAGGUAGUCCUGAAGCCCAAGGCAGCUAUGACAGGCAUUCCCUGUCUUCCAGACCUGCCUUAACAUCCCUGCUGUCCUCAGUCACGGGCUGGGAGUAGCAACUUUUGAGAGGCCUCACCUCAGCACAAACACUUCAGUAAAUUUUAGAGCACAGCCUGCUCCUCGGUCAAUUACAUGCCCCAAAGUUGGCGGUCCACAAGGCAUAGUCCUGGAGCUCUCUCAAAGCUGCCUACAAAUCAAAAUGCCUCUAGUAUCGAGAAGAGGGUGGUUUGAGGUUAGGAUAUCAAUUAAAUGUAUGUAGGUUGUUGAUUGAAACAAAACAAAACCAGAACCAUGCUUUGGGAGAAGGUAAGAAGGUGAACAGAGAAAUGGUAGGAUCUGUUUGUUACCCUAACCAUAAGCGCAGUUCACCAACAUACUAAUUUGACCCAUAAAAACAAUCAAAACUGACACUCGGGGGGCUAGGUGCUGUGGCUCAUGCCUGCAAUCCCAGCACUUUGGGAGGCAAAGGUGGGUGGAUCACCCGAGGUCUGGAGUUUGAGACCAGCCUGGCCAAAAUGGCAAAACCCCAUCUCUACUAAAAAAAAUACAAAAAUUAGCCAGCACGGUGGUACGUGCCUGUAAUCACAGCUACUUGGGAGGCUGAGGCACGAGAAUCUUUUGAACCCAGGAGGUGGAGGUGGCAGUGAGCCGAGAUUGCGCCACUGCACUUCAGCCUGGGCAACUGAGUGAGACUCCAUCUCAAAAAAUAAAACAAAAAACAAAACAAAGCAAAAAAACCUGACACUCAACACUAUUUCACUCUGAAAUCAAGAUUCAUUGACCAAUACUGACAAUAGUUAUGGUUUGGAGAUCAGCCUCAACAUAUGAAGAAGACUGGAUUUUAGCAGAUGUGGGAUUUUUAAAUAUUUCCCCCAGAGAACAAUUCAUCCAUUGCAUAUAUUGCUCUGAAUGGAGUUUGAAUAGAUUUGUGCCAGAGUCUUGGAUAUAUGCCUUUUUUUUUUUUUUAAUAAUACCAGACUAAUAAAAUACAGGCCAAAGUAUCUGGCUGAGGCAGAUUAGGAGAAUCACCUAAAACCUAGAGAAAAAGACCCAAGUCCAAAUGGAAAUUUACUACCUGAUAAAGGUGGCAUUCCUAAUUAGUAGGAAAAAGACUGUUUAAUAAAUUGUGUUGGGACAAUUGGUAGCCAUCUAGAAAACAAUGUUGGAUUCUUACCUCAUAUACUAGAAUAAAUUCAGAAAGGAUUAAGGGUUUAAAUGUUAAAAUAAAAUAAAAGUGCUAAUGGGAGAAUUUCAAAAUCCUUUCUGCAUGGUAACGGACUUUCAAAAUGUUAAACACACUUUGGGAGGCGAAGAUGGGCAGAUCAUUUGAGCUCAGGAGUUUGAGACCAGUCUGGGCAACAUGGCAAAACCCCGUCUCUAACAAAAAAUACAAAAAUUAGCCAGGCAUGGUGAUGGUGCACGCCAGUAAUCUCAGCAACUUGACUGAGGCGGGAGGAUGGAUUGAGCCUGAGAGUUCAAUGGAGUGAACCAUGAUUGCACCACUCAACGCCAGCCUGGGCAAUAGAAUGAGACACUGUCGUUCACUUUGGCAUUGUUUGUAAUAGUAAAAUAUUGUUAACAAUCUAAAUGUACAUUCAAUAAGGAACUAAUUAAAUAAAUCCUAAAAUAUUAUGCAGCCUGGCUGGGCAUGGUGGCUCACACCUGUAAUCCCAGCACUUGGGGAGGCCAAGACCAGUGGAUUGUUUAAGCCCAGGAAUUUGAGACCACCCUGGGCAGCAUAGUGAGACCCCCAUCUCUACUAAAAAUACAAAAAAUUAGCCAGGUGUGGUAGCACACUCCUGUAGUACCAGCUACUCUGGAGGCUGAGGUAGGAGAAUCCGCUGAGCCUGGAAAGUCGAGGCUGCAGUGAUCACGCCAUUGUACUCCAGCAUGGGUGACGGGAGUGAGACCUUGUCUAAAAAAACAAAAACUUACGCAGCUGUAAACAAAGAAUAAAGAAGCUCUUCAUGUACUAAUACAAAACAAUCUUUAAGGUUGAAUGCAGUGGCUCACGCCUGUAAUCCGAAGGCUAUGAGUGGACAAGACAGGAGGAUCCCUUAAGGUCAGAAGUUUGAGACCAGUCUGGGCAACAUAGCAUGAUCCCAUCUUUACAAAAAAUUUAAGAAUUAGCCAGUUGUGGUGGCAUACACCUGUAGUCCUAGCUACUUAUGAAGCUGAGGCAGAAGGAUUGCUUGAGCCCAGGAGUUUGAGGCUGCAGUGAGCUAUGAUCGUGCCACUGCACUCCUGCCUGGGUGACAGAACAAGACUCUGUCUCUUUAAAAACAAACAAACAAACAAAAACUUUAAGAUAUCUUAUUAAGUGACGAAGCAAGGUGAAGAACAGUACAAGUAAUAUGCUAAAAUUUAGGUUAAAAUAGUGUAAAGGGGGAUAUAAAGGUACAAAUUUGUUUAUAUAUGUAGAGAAUAUCUCUCAAAGGGAACAUAAGAAACGCAGUAUUUCUUGUCCACAUUUUUCAUUGAAUAUCACUUCUUCCUUUUGAAUUUUGAAUCAUGUGAAUUCAAAAAAUAAAAAUCUAAAAAGAGUUGACGAGUCUUUCUGACUUGGUGCAUGCUACUGCUAACCUGAAUAAGAAAAAAGUGGAUAGUGCCCACCUAGGGAAUAUUUACUCAACAUAAAUUAUCUUGGGUUGGCUUCCCAGCUACUGACACAGACACUCUUCCCUCACAAAGUCUAAAUAUUUAAAAUUUAUAAAUAAAGAAAACUGUCAGCUAUGUUGUAUCUAUCAUCCUUGACAAACAUACCUUCAUAGUGAUUUGCAAUGCUCAUUUAUUUUUUACUUAUUAUUAUUAUUUUUGAGACAGAGUCUUGCUCUGCCACCCAGGCUGGAGUGCAAUGGUGUGAUCUUGGCUCACUGCAACCUGCACCUCCCAGGUUCAAGCAAUUCUCCUGCUUCAG